UACGUAGGGUCCAAGCGUUAAUCGGAAUUACUGGGCGUAAAGCGUGCGCAGGCGGUUCGUUAAGUCAGCUGUGAAAGCCCCGGGCUCAACCUGGGAAUUGCGGUUGAAACUGGCGAACUAGAAUCUGGCAGAGGGGGGUGGAAUUCCACGUGUAGCAGCGAAAUGCGUAGAGAUGUGGAGGAACACCGAUGGCGAAGGCAGCCCCCUGGGCUGACACUGACGCUCAUGCACGAAAGCGUGGGGAGCAAACAGG
rnacentral:rRNA from 1 species